rnacentral:miRNA from 1 species
AACCUCAUUGACUGGAAGGGAUUCCCUCCGGUUGAUGAGAUUGUUACACCUCAUCAAUUGGAAGGAUUUCCUUUUGUUUGAUGAGGCAUAAUAAAUUAAUCAACUGGAGGGAAUUCCUUCUGGUCAAUGGUGUU